GCCAGUGUAGUGUAGUGGUUUGAGCCUUGGACUAGGACUCUGGAGAGCAGGGUUCGAAUCCCUGUUUGGGCA
rnacentral:tRNA from 1 species